ACGGGAGGCAGCAGUCGGGAAUAUUGCUCAAUGGAGGGAACUCUGACGCAGUGACGCCGCGUAUAGGAAGAAGGUUUUCGGAUUGUAAACUCUUUUCGUUAUGGAAGAAAAAAAUGCCAGUACCUAAGGAGGAAGCACCGGCUAACUAUGUGCCAGCAGCCGCGGUAAUACAUAGGGUGCAAGCGUUAUCCGGAUUUAUUGGGUGUAAAGGGUGCGUAGACGGGAAUUUAAGUUAGUUGUGAAAUCCCUUGGCUUAACGGAGGAACUGCAACUAAUACUAAAUUUCUUGAGUGUCGGAGGGGAAAGUGGAAUUCCUAGUGUAGCGGUGAAAUGCGUAGAUAUUAGGAGGAACACCGGUGGCGAAGGCGACUUUCUGGACGAUAACUGACGUUGAUGCACGAAAGUGUGGGGAGCAAACAGGAUUAGAUACCCUGGUA
rnacentral:rRNA from 1 species